CCUCUGGUGGCUCAGUUGGUAGAGCGGUGGACUGUAUCGACGUAGGUCGCUGAUCUAAAUCCGGCCCGGAGGA